rnacentral:rRNA from 1 species
GUUUGAUCCUGGCUCAGGAUGAACGCUAGCGGCAGGCUUAACACAUGCAAGUCGAGGGGUAACAGGUAGCUUGCUAUGCUGACGACCGGCGAACGGGUGCGUAACGCGUAUAGAAUCUGCCUUGUACAGGAGGAUAGCCUUUAGAAAUGAAGAUUAAUACUCCAUAAUGUUAAUGAUUGGCAUCAAUUAUUAAUUAAACAUUUAUGGGUACAAGAUGACUAUGCGUCCUAUUAGCUAGAUGGUAAGGUAACGGCUUACCAUGGCAACGAUAGGUAGGGGGUCUGAGAGGAUUAUCCCCCACACUGGUACUGAGACACGGACCAGACUCCUACGGGAGGCAGCAGUGAGGAAUAUUGGACAAUGGAGGCAACUCUGAACCAGCCAUGCCGCGUGAAGGAAGACUGCCCUAUGGGUUGUAAACUGCUUUUAUACAGGAAGAAACCGUGGUACGUGUACCACCUUGACGGUACUGUAAGAAUAAGGACCGGCUAACUCCGUGCCAGCAGCCGCGGUAAUACGGAGGGUCCAAGCGUUAUCCGGAAUCAUUGGGUUUAAAGGGUCCGCAGGCGGUCAAUUAAGUCAGAGGUGAAAUCCCAUCGCUCAACGAUGGAACUGCCUUUGAUACUGGUUGACUUGAGUUAUACGGAAGUAGAUAGAAUAAGUAGUGUAGCGGUGAAAUGCAUAGAUAUUACUUAGAAUACCGAUUGCGAAGGCAGUCUACUACGUAUAUACUGACGCUCAUGGACGAAAGCGUGGGGAGCGAACAGGAUUAGAUACCCUGGUAGUCCACGCCGUAAACGAUGGAUACUAGUUGUUGGGUUUAUUCUCAGUGACUAAGCGAAAGUGAUAAGUAUCCCACCUGGGGAGUACGGUCGCAAGACUGAAACUCAAAGGAAUUGACGGGGGCCCGCACAAGCGGUGGAGCAUGUGGUUUAAUUCGAUGCAACGCGAAGAACCUUACCAUCCCUUGACAUCC